AAAUUCACAUGAUGAAACAAUUUUAUUUCCAGUUAUCCCUGUCUGAAUUUGACUGAUGCUAUUCAACAUUCUGAUGCGUUU